GAUGAACGCUAGCGGCAGGCUUAACACAUGCAAGUCGAGGGGCAGCACGGGUAGCAAUACCUGGUGGCGACCGGCGCAAGGGUGCGUAACGCGUGAGCAACAUGCCCUAUACAGGGGGAUAAUCCAGGGAAACUUGGUCUAAUAUCCCAUAGCAUUUAGAGGAGGCAUCUUCACUAAAUUAAAGCUUCGGUGGUAUAGGAUUGGCUCGCGUGACAUUAGCUUGAUGGUGGGGUAACGGCUCACCAUGGCGAUGAUGUCUAGGGGUUCUGAGAGGAAGACCCCCCAACUGGGACUGAGACACGGCCCAGACUCCUACGGGAGGCAGCAGUGAGGAAUAUUGGACAAUGGAUGGAAAUCUGAUCCAGCCAUGCCGCGUGCAGGAAGACGGCCCUAUGGGUUGUAAACUGCUUUUAUAUGGGAGCAAUAAGGUUUACGAGUAGACCGAUGAGAGUACCAUAUGAAUAAGCAUCGGCUAACG
rnacentral:rRNA from 1 species